GCCCCCCUCAAGAUAAGAUCUCCAUAUAAGGGUCGUCAAAGACGAUGACGUCGAUAGGUCGCAGGUGCAGAGGCGGUAACGUCUAUAGCCGAGCGAUACUAAUCACCCAAACCCUUUCC
rnacentral:rRNA from 1 species